ensembl:snRNA U6 U6 spliceosomal RNA
GUGCUCGCUUUGGCAGCACAUAUACUAAAAUUGGAAUGCCACAGAGGUUAGCAUGGCCCCUGCACAAGGAUGACAUGCAAAUUUGUGAAGCAUUCCAUAUUAAA